UUAUGAUUUCAGAACUGGAACCGAUGAGUUAUAGGAUUCAUUUUCCCCCUAACCUAAUGGAAGGAAGAAAUCAAAUUGCAUUCAGAAUCCUCAGCAAGAACAGAUACACCUUUUCAUCUAGUUAUUAAUAUUUACAACUGUCAUCAGAGGGGUUGUUUGAAAAUACAGCAAAUUCUUCUUCCUUCUUGACCUUGGGAAGGCUUGAAAGUGCCAAGUAUAAAGCAUUCACUAGCUAGAAAAUAUUAAGAGAAAUGAUCAGGUUUAUACCAGGUUGUUUAGAUGCAGAUAGUGAAAAAGACAAGCUGUGAGUAGAAAGCAGAUGAUUUGUAAGAGUACAGUUGGAAAAGUAUGUUUAUGGCAUUAAGCUGUGAUACUGAAGGUCUGGGAGGGCUGUGGGCACUCACACUCAUUUGAAAGUCAGUGGGAGCGGUGGCAUGAUCAACGUGCUAACGCAGCUGGUGAUGCUCAUCUCAGCUUGUAUCAAAACCCCAACCAAGCAGACAGUAUCACCUACGCAACAUUCUGACCAAGCUCCAGAUGUAACUGACUCUCUGCUCUCAUUCUCUUAAUUAUGCUUCAUCACUUAACUAUGUUCUUAUAAUAAAUGUGAGGGGUCAUCAUAUUAGUGGGAUGUGAGGGUGGGUUAGGACUGAAAGUCAACACUUGGAUUGAGGGACCCCUGAGACAUGCAAUAAUGCAGUUAUUAUAUGUUAUUGAUAUGUGUGGAUCGUAGUCCACAGAGGUAAAAUGAUAGUGGUACCAAAGGGGUUUGCUCAUGCACCACAUGACAUUCAGUAAACUUUGUCAGUUGUGCUCCUUUAAUCUGAAGGAAUUAAUCUGAAGAAAGAUUCAAGGGAUGAGAUUGAUUAAAAAGCUCACAAAGAGACCAGUUACUGUUACUUCCAUAAUGAUUCCUGUCUGGUCUCCAUUUUCUUCUAACUGCUGAUCAAGUAAAUGUUUGAUUGGAAACCUGAUCUUGAGAUUAUUUCCCAGCGGCAAAAAUCCUGACUAAAAUAACCCAUAACCACCCCCUAUCCAAGCUCACCCAUUUUCCCUAAAACAAAAGCAUCUUUUUGAGGCUUUUAUGCCUCUCUCUCAUGCUUCAUACCAAUUAUAGUGUAAAGGAGUUUAUUCUCCUUUAUUGUAUCUGCAUAUAGUUUGUUUUUCCCCAUUAGUUUAGAAAAUUCCUGUUCAGCUACUGCAAGCGUUCCUUGCUUGAUAACCUGUUUCUUUUUUCCAUUAACUGUUUGAAUUCUAAAGCAGAGGUUGCUACCUCCCACUAACAAAUCUGCUCUACCAGCAGUACCAAUAAAACCUGCUAAAAACCACCAAGAGAAUGUUUAAGGCUGCAUUCUGGAUUUUAGCAUCCAUCUUCUGGUUUACUGAGAAGGUAAAAGAUGUGCACGAAGCAUAUGGAUGAUGCACUGUUCUGCAAGAUGCUGUGACUAGAAGUGCUGAAACACGAGACGCUGACUCAAAGGAAAAUAUUCAGCUUCCUCUCUGAACUUGCCCAUGGAUUUCAUGAGAAGAGGAGCAGCUCGAUUGUCCUGGUGAUCCCAUCCUGCUGGACACCCCACCGGAUAGCUAUGGAAAGCUUCCAAACCCAGGAGAGCAAACACGGUUCCUGCGCGAACAAAUCCCCUACAAAACACCUGCAGCUUUCUGUGUUCUGCAGGUUUGAAAAUAACCCAAGCAAAAACCCAGCAAAACAACCAGGCUUCCCAUCUCAGGGUAAAUUGAUUCCCAAAGCAUGGAUUUCAACCAUUAGUACCUAAAGGUGAUUGAAAAAAUCCUCCAUGUACGGACAGGUUAGUGCGAUCCAAGUCUUUGGAAAUAGGUGUAUUUUGCAGGACACUUUGGGAUACUGAAAACUGAUACAGAUUUUUAAGAUACCUGUCCCCAAAAUCAAUACUGAAAUAUUAUUUUAAGACUUGUUUAUUUUUUUGCUCUCUGCAAAGCAUUUACUGGAGAUCUUUUCAGCCUGGGAAUGUUCUGUCAUGAAUGUUAUCCUCAGCUGAUAAGCUGUCACAAGGUACUGGAGUGAAAGACAACACAAUAAACAGCCCAUGGCAUAUGCUGGAACACAGCCAUCCAUGAAUGACUCCACAUGUAUAAACACCUUCAAUAACACUGGUGGGAGAGGAGCUCAGGCACAAAUGCAAUUGUAAAGAAACAGGAAACUAAAAGUCUUGCUCACAAAUUCUUUCAUAGGAUAAAACAGCAGUUUACUGGAGCCAGCAUCUCCUCAGGAUCUUCCCUCCACUAAUUCUUUAACUGAUUAGUUCUCUCUAUGUUUUUCAUACGUAACUUGGAUUAGGAGCUCUAGGAUAAGAUAAAAAGGGGAAAAGUUGCAAGCAAAGAGAGGAAUUUAGAGUGAAAAUCUUUAUCUUGUGCAUAAACGAUAUGAUGCAGCUCUGGAGGAAUGCAUUCUGUCUUUUUCUGGUUUGUGUUUUAGACUUAAUGAGCUGUGUUGUGUUUGGAGGCAAUACACCAUUGAUAAGGUAUAAUAGUGACUCGAUACAUUUCUGGCACCCUUUGCAUACAGUUGGUAACUGAGCUAAAGUGUUUAACCAAGAGGUGACAAGAGAAUUAGUACCUGCCCCAUUCACCCUGAGCCCCACAAAAGCUGGGAAUUAUAUUUCCAAGUAUUAUUUCUGCAUGUGUGGGGAAGAUUCACUCAAUCACUCCGAGCAGCACACAGAAGGAAGAGCUUUCAAAAGAGACCUGUAUAUAAAUACAUAAAGCAAUACUAUCUGGUCGAGUGCAAGAUCAAUUUCUAAUUCAAUACAAAGCUUUUAUCUUAAAUAAAUACUUCAAUUGCAAUCACCCCAGUGCCUGGGAAUGAUCAGUAGCCUCUGGGGAUCAUAUUGACACAUACGUUCCCUGUAUCAAAAGUGGCUUAAAUCUGGGACAGCGCUUGCAACAAGUAAUGUAAAAGAAAGCUUUUUAUAACAAAGUAAACAAAAGAAGGGUCACAUUCAAGGAUGAAGAACUAUAUUACCCUGGGGGAACUGUAAUGAUUAUUUUGGUUAUUUGGUAUAAUUACAAGAAAGGCUGUGUAGAAUAACAUAGCAGAGCAUAACUUUUUUAACAACAAAAUAGAAGUGGACUUAGGAUGUUUUCUGUGGGCACUGUGUGUGCAGGCUCUUUACCAUAGACCUGUGCUUAGCUCAGAAGGCCAGAUGUCUCCUGGAAGACAGAAAUCAAUGCUGCUUUUUUGGAGAUCGUCCUUUUAUUUGCAAAAACAGUUGUCUUGUGUCUUGGCAGUGGCGUUCUCUGUUCUACCCAUUGAAUUUGCUUCUCUGGCUUGUGUUUUCCAGGGUGCAGCAGCUCCUUUCGGAGCUACUUGCUGUGCAUAAAGAUGCUACAGAAAACAUGAAGAGUGAAAAUCAUGGAAAGGAGUGAAUGGGAGUGGGGCUAGAAGUGGGCACCCAGGGGUUAUCAGCAGGAAAAUGACACACAUGAAGGACAAGUCAGGUUGAGGGAAAGUUGUUCCUGUCCUCAGAACAGUUUGCAGUGGCUAUGGGGAUAGGGACAGGGUGCCACUUCUGCCUGGGAAUUAGAGAAAGAGAUUCUUGAAAAGGUUUUUGGCUGUAUCUGGUGAACCAAAGCUUAAGAGCAUUGAUUUAAGUGUUGCACAGCUUACUUGUGAUGUAUGGAAAUGUUUCUAACAUAUUACAAACACCAUUAACUUGUGUAGCAGAGUUAGCAAUAAUAAAUUCAUUAUGGAAGUCAUUUAUAAAUGCUGCAUGUUUUAUUGUGGCUGUAGCCUUUGAGAGCACUAGUGUUUUACUGGCAGUUUUCCAUUAGGAAAAUAUUUACAAUCUUAACUCUAAUAUGAUUAAGUGCUUUGCUUGGGAAUUUUUAUGGUCACUAAUUAGGUUAAUACUGAUCAUUAGAACACAAAUAUAAUUAAUUUCCCAUAAUAUUAAAAUUAAUCACAUGCUUAAAGCUAAAUUAAACCAGUCACCAGUGAGAAUGAACAACGGCCUCAUUUCUGAUUUCACUGCCUCGAGGUUUCCCAAGUAAAACCUUCACUUACAUUAUAGGGAUGGACCAUGUGUGUUUCAGUAACUAUCCAUCAGUAAUAAACUAAUUAGAGGGUAAAGAAGAACCAGGACUGACAAUCCACAAGACGUGAGGGAAUUAUUUAAUCUUUUGGGGGGAUGCAGAGAGAAUUUGUUUCAACUUUUAUGCUUUGGUUUCUUCUUUGCUGAACAGAACUAAGCAAGGGAGUCUGAAGAGCAAAUCCCCCUCACCUGUGAAAAGAUGGCUCCAAAGAGGUCCUCUGGGUCUGUUUGCUUCCUCAUGCCAUUUAAGAGAUAGCAGCUAUCAAGCCAAAGAGGAUCAGCAAAGCUAAAUAUCUUUGCUUUAGGACAGUUCCUAUCCUGACGCUUGCUGAUCCUUCAGCUUACUAAGACUGGGAAAAGAGGCAGGAACUCAAAAGCCACAGCUUCCCCAGGUCUUCUCCUCCAGGAACCCAUAUGAGAAAAGCUUUAGAGACCCUUCUUUACAUGUAAGCCUCUCCAUGUGAUUCUUUCCAUUGGAGCUGGGGAAAUCACUCCCUGGAUUUAAUUGAAAAUGUAAUUAGGGUUAACCUGAAUUUAAAUAAUUGCUCAACUAUUAAAUAGCUAUUAGCAUGCCCUAUCAUUUGCUAUAAGAGAAAUGAAAAUGUAUGUCACUGCAUCACUCCAGGAGAACACAGAUUGGGAGCUGAUAAUUGUUACUGUAAUUCCCCACCAAUGAGACCCAGGAGGUUUUUAUCCUUAUAUUACAAGCCCCCUUGUUUGUGGUAGUUUACUGCUGCUAACGGAGAGGCCGAGGUGGAUGUUGGCACAAAUAUAAAGACAUAUUCAUUCUGCGUUUGCAAAACAGAUUUACUUUCAGUGAUGCAAAAUGGAAUAUACCCAGAAUCAAAGCUCUGUACAUUUGUACCUAAUUUUAUAGUAAUGAUCCCAUCCUGCUCCUAUUAAAGAUUCAACAUUUUAAUGAGCAUUGAAUGAACAAGAGCUUUUGUCUUGGGCUCUAGAAGUGCAGCGCGGCCUAUAAGAAUGCAUAUCAUUAAGAAUAACUGCAAUUAAAUGUAGCAUCAUGUAAUUCUUUUGGAAAUGGGCUCUCUGUGUAAGUACUUGGAAGUUCUAAGUUUGUUAACUUUGUCUUCUGAAGGCUGUAAAAGGGUCCCUUAAUAGCAGUUUCUCUGGGCUUGCCAGGCAUUGAAAUUAACUCUAGAAAACUAUGUAAAAGAUGAGUCAAGAGAAAGCAGCACCUAAAGACAUAGUAAAAUUCAGGAGGUAGGUCUAAUCCACACCUGGUUUUACUUGGAGCAGUCCUUGAUUUUUUCGAACACUGUCGCCAUAUAUUGAGAAUAUGGUUUGAUCUUUUCAAAAUCACACUUCUUUGAGUGUACAUGAAAUUUCUUUUCUUGGCAUUUAUUCCCUUGAUGUCAAAACAGAAACUGCAAACAUUGGGCUAAAAGAAUAAUUAUUUCAUUUCCCUGCAGCUUCUGUAAUUGCCUUUGUGUCCUUUCUUGAACCGCUGUUCUGUAACUCCUCAGAGCCAGUCCCUUCCGUGAACAGCAGCUCACUGUUCUGAACCCCUCUGCCUACUAUGGCAACAAGAACUUAAAACGCAGUGGAAAAAUUCUGGUAUCUCCAAGUUGCCUGGUAGCAAAUAAACUGAUUAUUUCUCUCCAUUCAUAUUAACAGAUUCUGUUCUCGGAGCUUAAUUCUGUUCACUGCCCCGAGCAAAAAGGAGAGUGUUCAGAAGAGGUAUAAUUUGUUGGUGAUAAAACCACCCCCGAUCCUUUCCCAGGUUGCAUAAGUACUCCAUGCACACAGCUGCAGCCUUCAGCGUGCAGGAGCUUCAGCAGCAGCUUCCCUUCCCUGGGAGGGGAUUUUGCCAGUGGAACAACACUGGCAUGGAUUCAUCAGCCAUACGCCUCCUCUCGCUUCCCACGCACCCUUUGUACUGUCACCAUGGAGCAGUGGAGGAGCGCUGCUUCACAGGUCAAAGCCUGGUUAGACUCUGCUGAACAGGCUUCCUAAGUGUUGUUCUCUCCCUGUCCCCAGGCAACAGAAUCUAUUUCUUUGGGCAAAAUGUAAGCCAGGUGGAAUAAUGUGUUUGAAAGCUCAAAAGUCAGAUCCUUUGAUUUUUUUUUUUGCUUUAUGAUCUUAAUUUAUGCACAUAUGAAAGUGAAACAUGGCUUUUUUCUUUCUCUCCUGGUCUUUUUCCU